rnacentral:rRNA from 1 species
UACGUAGGGCGCGAGCGUUGUCCGGAAUUAUUGGGCGUAAAGAGCUCGUAGGCGGCCUGUCGCGUCUGCUGUGAAAUCCCGGGGCUUAACCCCGGGCGUGCAGUGGAUACGGGCUGGCUGGAGGCAGGCAGGGGAGAACGGAAUUCCCGGUGUAGCGGUGAAAUGCGCAGAUAUCGGGAGGAACACCUGUGGCGAAAGCGGCUCACUGGACCACAACUGACGCUGAGGCGCGAAAGCUAGGGGAGCAAACAGG